UACGUAGGGAGCGAGCGUUGUCCGAAGUUACUGGGCGUAAAGCGCGCGUAGGCGGGUUAUUAAGUGAGAGGUGAAAUUCCAGGGCUCAACCCGGGGACUGCCUCUCAUACUGAUAGUCUUGAGUGAGGUAGAGAGAAGUGGAAUGGCUGGUGUAGCGGUGAAAUGCGUAGAUAUCAGUCGGAACACCGGUGGCGAAGGCGGCUUCUUGGGCCUUUACUGACGCUGAGGCGCGAAAGCCAGGGUAGCGAACGGG
rnacentral:rRNA from 1 species